UACGGGGGGGGGCAAGCGUUGUUCGGAAUUACUGGGCGUAAAGGGCUCGUAGGCGGCCAACUAAGUCGGACGUGAAAUCCCUCGGCUUAACCGGGGAACUGCGUCUGAUACUGGAUGGCUUGAAUCCGGGAGAGGGAUGCGGAAUUCCAGGUGUAGCGGUGAAAUGCGUAGAUAUCUGGAGGAACACCGGUGGCGAAGGCGGCAUCCUGGACCGGCAUUGACGCUGAGGAGCGAAAGCGUGGGGAGCGAACAGG
rnacentral:rRNA from 1 species